UCAUCACAUCUCCCAAAUACUACAAGCAAAACAUCAAAAUUCCAAAAAUUAAUCUAACGCCAAAUCCAAAGUAUAUUACAUAUAUAUAAAGUAAUCAUCAGAGACUUAAAUACUACGAAUCAUAGAAUUUACCAUCAUAUUGUUGCAGUUUUUUUCUCAUCAUCUGAUUUCGAUUUUAUCAUCCAGUAAAAUUGUACUAAUUCAAGUAUUUCAGAUUCUUCGACAAUUGUUAAAUGACUAAAUCAGAUACAUCUAAUACAAAAUUGACCUAAAUAAUAAUGUAUCAUCGUUUACUGAACCAUUCCAUCAUAAAUUAAGUCAAGUGGUUCACCCAAUAACAAUGCAAUUCUUGAUAUCCCUGACAUUUACGAGAGACCCAUUCACAAAGAAGGCAAUAGAUCCCUGCUUUUUUAAUCAGGUUUUUUAAAAAGUAAGUUCAAGUUCAAGAGUAGAAAGCUCAGAAGCCAAGCGUAACAAGAAAAUUUCAUUGAAGAUCCAAGCUGAUCCAAGCUUAAAAUAGAUCUCCUUACAUGUUCGCUAUCUCAUCAAUGCUUAAAAUAAUUUGACUACUAUUAAUUUGAAGGAAUGCUGGGGAUAAAAAUUAACAUCCUCCAAUCGUGAUAAGUAGCGUUAUCUAGGCACCGUGCAAAAGGUAGUUUCUCAUAGAAAUAAGAAGAAAAUACCCGUUGUCUGAGAUAUGCCAUUGAAAACAGUGUAUAUAUAUAAAUAUAUCCAAGAUAUUGUGUCAAGAGAGUACAAUUAACUCUAAUGGAUCUUCAUCUUGGAUUUGUUUAGGCUUCAUGCGGCAGACGGGUUACCAUUAACAGGCACCUGCUGCAGACUCUUGUGUGAAGCCAUAAUUAACAACAUCCAAAACUUAGCAAAGGAAUUUCUGUGAUUCAUAACCAUUAGCAAAAAUUUAAAUCAUGUAAACACAUAAGUUGCAAACAAUCAAUGGUAUAAUGUGAUGUAAAACUAUAAAAAGUGUAAAUUUUGCUCAGAUACAUGAAUAUCUUCUCAUAGAUUUCUCUCUGAAGUCUGACAUGUGAAAUUUUCAUGAAUUCAUCACAGCAGAAGACCCAAAUAAUUUUCAAAAAAUUCACAUUAAAACAGUUUCAAAUAGGAAAAUACAAAUAGCUCUCAUACUUGAAAUUUUUUUAUCUACUCAUGCUUUAGAUCGGUAUAGCGUAUAUUGCCACAAGGCAUACAAUCACUGAGCUAUUUUUCACAAAUCUGGCAAUAAAAUAUAAAAAUAUAAAAUAAUACUCAAUAAUAAUGAGAGAUCAGUAGAGUAAAAAAGAAAGGUGUUAUCUGUCACUGUUCAAUCAGAAACACGGACCAAUUUCGUUCAUCAUAUCUCCCAAAUACUAUAACCAAAACAACAAAACUCCAGAAAUUAAUCUAACACCAAAAUCUAAUUCUGUUACAGAUAUAUAAAGAAAUCAUCAGAGACUUAAAUACUACGAAUCAUGGAAUUUACCAUCAUAUUGUUGCAGUUUUUUUCUCAUCACCUGAUUUCAAUGAACAAAAAAGCUUCAAACAAAAAUCGUAAUCAAUAAAAAGAAGCACCAAAUUGAGGCGGCGGCCGGCGAAGAAAAC
rnacentral:lncRNA from 1 species